rnacentral:rRNA from 1 species
AUACGGAGGAUGCGAGCGUUAUCCGGAUUUAUUGGGUUUAAAGGGAGCGUAGGUGGGAUAUUAAGUCGGCUGUGAAAGUUUGGGGCUCAACCUUAAAAUUGCAGUUGAUACUGGUUUCCUUGAGUACGGUACAGGUGGGCGGAAUUCGUGGUGUAGCGGUGAAAUGCUUAGAUAUCACGAAGAACUCCGAUCGCGAAGGCAGCUCACCGGGCCGGAACUGACACUGAUGCUCGAAAGUGCGGGUAUCAAACAGGAUUAGAUACCCUGGUAGUCCGCACAGUAAACGAUGAAUACUCGCUGUUUGCGAUACACUGUAAGCGGCCAAGCGAAAGCGUUAAGUAUUCCACCUGGGGAGUACGCCGGCAACGGUGAAACUCAAAUGAAUUGGCGGGG